AUUAUGCAUACAUGCAUGUAUGUAUAUAUUAUGCAUACACGUAUGUAUGUAUAUAUCAGUUUGUUCUCACACUAUAGAGAGACUACCAGAGACUGAGUAAUUUAUAAAGGAAAGAGGUUAAUUGACUCACAGUUCCACAUGGCUGCGAAGGCAGCUUCAAGUAACUUACAGUCACGGCAGUAGAGAAAGUAGGCACGUCUUACACAGUGGUGGGAGAGAGAGCAAGUGCGUGAAGGAGGAAAUGUCAGACACUUAUAAAACCAUCAGAUCUCAUGAGAACUCACUAUCAUGAGAACAGCAUGGGAGACACUGCCCCCAUGAUCUAAUCACCUCCCAGCAGGUCUCUCAACACAUGGAAAUUAUGGGGAUUACAAUUCAAGAUGAGAUUUGGGUGGGAGACACAAAUUCUAACCAUAUCUAUGUCUACAUCUAUAUGUGUAUAUCUAUUUUUAUUUAUUUUCAAAAUGAAAAAGCUAACUAUCAUUCUGUGGGUGAUACCUCUGAUAUUGGCUAUGUUGACAAAGAUAUAUUCAUUUCUAUUUACAGGGACAUCCUUCCUUAAGAGUCUAAAUUCUUGCCUGCUGUGACAGAGAAACACAAAGACAAUGAUAAUAAUCUAGCAAUCUCUUCCAACCAUC
rnacentral:lncRNA from 10 species